rnacentral:rRNA from 1 species
GACGAACGCUGGCGGCGUGCCUAAUACAUGCAAGUCGAACGCUUUUUCUUUCACCGGAGCUUGCUCCACCGAAAGAAAAAGAGUGGCGAACGGGUGAGUAACACGUGGGUAACCUGCCCAUCAGAAGGGGAUAACACUUGGAAACAGGUGCUAAUACCGUAUAACACUAUUUUCCGCAUGGAAGAAAGUUGAAAGGCGCUUUUGCGUCACUGAUGGAUGGACCCGAGGUGCAUUAGCUAGUUGGUGAGGUAACGGCUCACCAAGGCAACGAUGCAUAGCCGACCUGAGAGGGUGAUCGGCCACACUGGGACUGAGACACGGCCCAGACUCCUACGUGAGGCAGCAGUAGGGAAUCUUCGGCAAUGGACGAAAGUCUGACCGAGCAACGCCGCGUGAGUGAAGAAGGUUUUCGGAUCGUAAAACUCUGUUGUUAGAGAAGAACAAGGAUGAGAGUAAAACGUUCAUCCCUUGACGGUAUCUAACCAGAAAGCCACGGCUAACUACGUGCCAGCCGCCGCAGUAA